ACCAAAAGUAGUGAAGUAAUAGUUACAUUUAGUUUCGACCUAAAAAUUAGAGAACACGUUUCUCCUUACUU
rnacentral:tRNA from 1 species